rnacentral:rRNA from 1 species
CAGUAGCCGCGGUAAUACGUAGGGUGCAAGCGUUAAUCGGAAUUACUGGGCGUAAAGCGUGCGCAGGCGGUUUGUUAAGACAGAUGUGAAAUCCCCGGGCUUAACCUGGGAACUGCAUUUGUGACUGGCAAGCUAGAGUCUGGCAGAGGGGGGUGGAAUUCCGCGUGUAGCAGUGAAAUGCGUAGAUAUGCGGAGGAACACCGAUGGCGAAGGCAGCCCCCCUGGACAAAGACUGACGCUCAGGUGCGAAAGCGUGGGGAGCAAACAGGAUUAGAGACCCCUGUAGUCCCUGUCUCUUAUA